rnacentral:rRNA from 1 species
UUUCGGGUCGUAAAACUCUGUUGUUAGGGAAGAACAAGUGCUAGUUGAAUAAGCUGGCACCUUGACGGUACCUAACCAGAAAGCCACGGCUAACUACGUGCCAGCAGCCGCGGUAAUACGUAGGUGGCAAGCGUUAUCCGGAAUUAUUGGGCGUAAAGCGCGCGCAGGUGGUUUCUUAAGUCUGAUGUGAAAGCCCACGGCUCAACCGUGGAGGGUCAUUGGAAACUGGGAGACUUGAGUGCAGAAGAGGAAAGUGGAAUUCCAUGUGUAGCGGUGAAAUGCGUAGAGAUAUGGAGGAACACCAGUGGCGAAGGCGACUUUCUGGUCUGUAACUGACACUGAGGCGCGAAAGCGUGGGGAGCAAACAGGAUUAGAUACCCUGGUAGUCCACGCCGUAACGAUGAGUGCUAAGUGUUAGAGGGUUUCCGCCCUUUAGUGCUGAAGUUAACGCAUUAAGCACUCCGCCUGGGGAGUACGGCCGCAAGGCUGAAACUCAAAGGAAUUGACGGGGGGCCCGCACAAGCGGUGGAGCAUGUGGUU